UGAGGAACAUGACCUUCGGCGGGGGAUAGCCGGCCCAACGGCCGGGUAAUACCGCGUACGACCACUUUGGGACAUCCCUCGGUGGUGAAAGCAGCAAUGCGCCGAUGGAGUGCCUCGCGGCCUAUCAGCUAGUUGGUGAGGUAACGGCUCACCAAGGCGACGACGGGUAGCUGGUCUGAGAAGAUGGCCAGCCACAUUGAGACUGAGACACGGCCCAGACUCCGUAGGGAGG
rnacentral:rRNA from 1 species